rnacentral:rRNA from 1 species
CAGUAGCCGCGGGAACACGAAGGGUGCAAGCGUUACUCGGAAUUACUGGGCGUAAAGCGUGCGUAGGUGGUGGUUUAAGUCCGUUGUGAAAGCCCUGGGCUCAACCUGGGAAUUGCAGUGGAUACUGGGUCACUAGAGUGUGGUAGAGGAUAGUGGAAUUUCCGGUGUAGCAGUGAAAUGCGUAGAGAUCAGAAGGAACAUCUGUGGCGAAGGCGACUAUCUGGGCCAACACUGACACUGAGGCACGAAAGCGUGGGGAGCAAACAGGAUUAGAUACCCCCGUAGUCCCUGUCUCUUAUAC